CAGGUUUCAAGCAUUUCAACAAGUAUAUUAGAACAUCAAAAAUUAUUUUGAUAUCAAGUUAUAAACUUCUUGAAUCUAGUUCAAUUAUCUAAGAUCAAUAAUAUCUUAGGAGAGAUUAAAUUAUUUAUAAAAGUAACUAUUAACAACUUUACAUCUUAAAAAGAUAGAAAAAUAGACUUCCAUUAAAAAUAUAGAUAAAUUUUUUUUUCUUUCUAAUAGGUCCUACAUUAAAAAUUGGCUUUAGGCUAUCAAUCUUCUUGGGCCGCCCCUGGCUGUAUUGCUAGUGUUUGCUAACAAGCAAGAUCUUCCAAAUUCCAUGAACGCAGCAGAGAUAACUGACAAGCUUGGCCUCCACUCUCUCCGCCAGCGUCACUGGUACAUCCAGAGCACUUGUGCGACUUCUGGUGAAGGUCUGUAUGAAGGAUUAGAUUGGCUGUCAAACAACAUAGCAAAUAAGGCAUAGAGACAAAGUAUCUUUGUUCUCUGGAUGAUGGAGUAGUGAGACAGUGACAAAAUAGGCUUCACCAAUUACUUGUAAACUGUAUUAGUAGAAAAUAAAUAUGACACAUGGAAUUAUGUGUGGCUGACAAGGCAUGAUACGUGGAUCACUAAGAAAGUGACAACUAAAAUAUUGCAUUAGAAGAUGCACGAGAUACAAGAAGUACGAGCAAAUAACUCACGAGAUGAAGGGAUGCAGUUGCUCGAGUCUAAAUCAUUCAGUAAAUAUAGGCUGAAUGAAUCAAGACAGUAAGAAGGAAAGAUUCACGAACCUCUAAUUAAUGAGGAAGAAGAAUUGGAGCCGUUACAGAAUCUCCAUAAACAGUUAUAAUUGCCAAUUAUAACGGUUCAUAAAUGUUAUUAAUGUUCAUAAUGUUUCGGCCAUAAAAGGGAGGAAACAUCAUGUUUGUAAAUUCCUAUAUAAGGGAAGAGAAUUUCAUUUGUAAAGACA